rnacentral:rRNA from 1 species
UACGGAGGGUGCAAGCGUUAUCCGGAUUUACUGGGCUUAAAGGGUGCGUAGGUGGGCAGGUAAGUCAGUGGUGAAAUCUCCGGGCUUAACCCGGAAACUGCCGUUGAUACUAUCUGUCUUGAAUAUCGUGGAGAUGAGCGGAAUAUGUCAUGUAGCGGUGAAAUGCUUAGAUAUGACAUAGAACACCGAUUGCGAAGGCAGCUCGUUGCACGGUUAUUGACACUGAGGCACGAAAGCGUGGGGAUCAAACAAG